rnacentral:rRNA from 1 species
AGAUUGAACGCUAGCGGGAUGCUUUACACAUGCAAGUCGAACGGCAGCGCGGACUUCGGUCUGGCGGCGAGUGGCGAACGGGUGAGUAAUAUAUCGGAACGUGCCCAGUAGCGGGGGAUAACUACGCGAAAGCGUGGCUAAUACCGCAUACGCCCUACGGGGGAAAGGGGGGGAUCGCAAGACCUCUCACUAUUGGAGCGGCCGAUAUCAGAUUAGCUAGUUGGUGAGGUAAAGGCUCACCAGGGCGACGAUCUGUAGCUGGUUUGAGAGGACGACCAGCCACACUGGGACUGAGACACGGCCCAGACUCCUACGGGAGGCAGCAGUGGGGAAUUUGGACAAUGGGGGAAACCCUGAUCCAGCCAUCCCGCGUGUGCGAUGAAGGCCUUCGGUUGUAAAGCUACUUUGUCGAGGAAGGAAACGGCGUCGACCGUAA